CGCCCAUUAAAGUGGUACGCGAGCUGGGUUCAGAACGUCGUGAGACAGUUCGGUCCCUAUCCGUCGCAGGCGGAGGAAAUUUGAGGAGACCUGUCCUUAGUACGAGAGGACCGGGAUGGACGUACCUCUGGUGUACCAGUUGUUCUGCCAAGGGCAUGGCUGGGUAGCUAUGUACGGAAUGGAUAAGCGCUGAAAGCAUC
rnacentral:rRNA from 1 species